UACAGUUUAUUUUAAAAUUAGUCACAAUAAGAAAAAAUGAGCUUAGAUAUGUACGCUUUUAUACAGCAUUCUAAGCUGAAAGAAAUUCUUCCAAUCAGUCAACAAAUAACGUCUGAGCACUGAAACUGUCAACGCCCCAGUCUGCUGCAUGUCAAGAACAUGUUUAAAAUGAAAGCUUAGAAGUGGUACAGAACUAACGUCUAUUUCUUACCACAAAGGCCAACAGAAAUAUUGGACUGUGUCAUUUACAACUGCUCUUUGUUCCAGUGUGUUUGUGUAAGCAAACCCGGUGGACUCCCCAGCGCUGAUACACAGUCCAGUCAUUAAGUCCAUUCUCAAGUGAUGAAGCCCAACGAAGGGAACUCCAAAAGGGGGACCGCCCACGGCAGCCAUUUGAAGGGUUGUUCCAUACUGAGGUGAUGAAAUAGAGCAAUUACUAUAAAGGACUCUCCAAAACAGUCGUCCUCGAAAGGAACAACCGAUGGACACUUUGCGCCUGAGAUUCUCUGCCCUGUUUUUACUCUGAAUUCAACAAUGGCCAUGGCAGUCAAGUUUACCUACAAAGAUAUGAGCUUUACUACUAUGCCACCACCAUACACACUGGAAGACAUUGGAAGAAGUGGUAAAUUCCAACAGCAUGGUCAGUGAAUACUGGCUCCUCAACCUCAGCUACAACACUUCAUAACUGAUCUCAACUAGAGAAAUAAACAAAAAUAAACAAACUAGCAUCCUAAUUUAAACCAGAACGGCUAUGAUCAGGCAGUUACUAAGGAUGAAUGAAUGAAUACUGUAAAUGCAUGUUAAUGAACAUGGUCUUUGUUGGUCCUGCAAGCUUUAUGUCUCACUCACACCCACACAAAAGUAAAUGUAUUCAUAUUCAGUUACAUCCCUAUUAUAUUGAGACACUCAUUCUUGUUUACAUGUCAGUGAUUAUGUGGCGAUAAAAAACUGGCUUCGGCUUUGAAAAAGUGACUUUUUUGCGUUCCAAAUGACCAUUACCUUCAGCCCCUAUGAUUUCUCACUGUGUAACCUUCAAAGAGAGUAGGGCAUAGUAAUGAUCCCUUCAGAAUGUACCACAACCUGUAUGUUGCUCAUUGUGCCACAGUGUUCAAAAGUUUCUUUUCCCACUGGAAACUGGAACACGAAAGUGCAUAUACAUGGUGCAAAGAGCCAAUCAGAUUACAACCUUCAAGGUUCUGAAGCUUGUACCCAGAAAACAAAUGCUAUAUAUUUGCAAAGAUAUCAAAUGCUUUGUGGCCGGCACUAGCACACUUGCAUUCAUAUAAAAAAAUAGAGCCACUCUGUGGGCACUAUAUUUGUUUGUGUGACUGUGUGUGAAAGUACAAGGUUAUACUUUGAUGUUCAGUAUUUGACCUGCUCACUGAGGAAGGCCACCCAAUGGACCCAAACACAAAAAUAAACAGUGAAGACAUUGCAGAGGAGAGACAUGAGCACCAGCCUGCUUGUGCCAUUGUCCACAAAGAGGGGACAUCAUUGUUUCUUUUCUAGCUGACCUUCACAUUUCCCAGUGGACUCAACCCCCCUGUACCACCAUUCAUCGGCCCAUGGCACCGGACUCUUCAGUCUCCCCCUCAUUCUCACCAAAAACAAAGGCCCUCUCUUGUAGCCUGGGCAGCAACAAUGAGAAAUGUUUGGUUGAAGUAGAUGCCUCAAACAGGGCAGUAAAGAGCAGACAAAACCAUUUCAUAUGUGAUCCUCAAACACCAGGGUGAAGAGGAAAUAGAAUGUUUGUUUGGUUGUCCUCCAUGUUCAAACAGUCCAUAAAAAACUUCUCUAAAGCUUGUUGUGUUGCAAGUAACAAGUGGUAUCGUAACUGUUCUGCCUUCAACAUCAAUAUCCUAAAUAUCCUAAAUGGAUACUAUUUGGUCUUGUAAAUACUUACCCUAACUUACAACAGAUGUGGGCUGUACUCUUGUAUUAGUAGAUGGCACAUCUAUCUACCUAUCUAAGAUUUCUGGUUCAAUUAGCUUCUCUGCGUAAUCUUCUCCAGCCCAUAUGUUAUUUGAAUUAUGUGUACAAAAUAAUUCCAUGAAACUAAUAUUGUGUACAUAUUUCAUGCACUUGGCAUGCUCUAAAUCAGACAUUCUGAAGUUGUGAAAGAUUGGACCACACUUGGCAACUCCCUGAAAGAACGGAGCAGCUGUGUGGGUUAGUAAUCGGUUACAUGUGAAAAUACACACAAAAGCACCUACUUAGGAAAUAACACAGUUGGUUAUAGUCCUGGACUGUAAGACUGAGGCAUUCCUGCAGGCAGCCCGUGACAUGGCAGGGAGAAAUCUUCUAAUGACAUAAUGAUAAGCAGCUCGGGCUGAAAAUUCAAACCUAAGUCGUUCUGGCUGUCUGUGAGGCAUCAUAAUUUCACAUAAGUGUGGUUGUUACCCUAGAGUGCAUACAGUUAGGGUAAAGGGUUUGACCAGGAGAGCUGCAACAUCCAAACUUUUCCAAAGCACCAUAAAAGUGUCAUCGGCUGUAGUAAAGAAUGAGACUGUAAAAAAAAUGUCUGGAGAGCAAAUGUUAUCAGCUUGAGUCUCUCUUACGAGGGAAAAUCCCUUUGUGUCUCUGCAUGUGACUAAUUAUAGCUGGUAAGCCAUGCCAGAAUGGAGUAAAUAAAGUCCUAAGUGUCUGUAUAUCAAAUAAAAGGUGACAGAAAAGUAAGCACUGUUAUCACUUAAUCAUGGGUGGGUGGAAGUUAGUUGGUUUCUACAUUUGAAAAAAAAAAAAAGAUAAAAGAAUUUAUACGUGGCGCCUGAAAAAUGCAUGUCUAUAAAAAGUAAGCCAAGGAUGAUAAUUAAAAAGGAAUAAGAAACUAUAAAGACGAUAAUGAUUUAUACAAGGGGAAGACACAGGGAGAUGUGCUGAAAGGGUGUCAGAUGUCUGAGACAGCACUAUCCAUCCACGGAUCUGAGAAGUCAGAACAGGGAGGUGGGCUGAAAGAUUCAUAGAAGACAGUAACAGUUUAUAGAGACAGACAGUGUUACUUCUGAGUCAGCAGGCAACGAACAGUCUUCAUGAACCACCUCACAUUCAGAAUCGUAAACGCAGCUGUAGAGCCACUGCUUCCUUCCAGACUUACUCCUCCUUUCAACUAAAGCCAACUUCUAUCUCUUCCACAGGCCGCCAGUGUAUCGCUGGGCUGGGAAUGCUGCUGUAAAAGGGAGAUGAGUGUAAAACUAUGCUUUUGGCUUAGCAGGAGAAAAGGAGAAGCUGCCUGUUACGUAUGUGUUAAACUGUCUCCAUCAAAAUGCUCACAUGGCCAUCUACCAUAUCUAUACAUCAUCAACAUCAUCUAGUCAAUAUUGUUACUCUAGUUCAUGAUGCAAUGCAAAACUAGAUGUAUGCAGGCAAAAUUUAUGGCCUGGCUAAUCAUAAAGAGUGGGACUAUUAUACUGAAAGAGCAUUAAGCAUAACAAAUGGGCUGCAAUAGUUUUAUUGCAGUAGUUGCAGACACUUUUUGGCUUUUGUUCUAAAAUAGUUCUUCAAAGGACCUGAGCCUGUUCCAGUUCUUGGCAAAAUUUUUAAAAUGCCACAAGAGAAGAGACAUGGUUUAAAAAAAUGCCAGAGUGUUAAUGAAAUAUCAUCCUCUUGAUACAAAAAGCACAGGAUGCACUACAGAUAUAUAGUCUGUAUAUAGUCAGUAUAUGGGCUGUAGUCAUGUUGUAUGAUACUGUGCAGAGAACUGGGAAGAUCAUCAUCAUUCCUCUUGUUGGGGUUUAGAAAAAAAAAAGGAAAUGAAGAUUCAGGUUAUUCCAUUUACAUGCUCAUGAGGAUGGGUGUUGCUUUCUUGAAAAGAGGAACAUGCAAGGCGCAGGCUACUUGUCAAAGUCCCUCUACAGCAGAGGUGUGAGAGAUGAGUGCUUUCAAAGUAAACAUGUAACUUUUCCAUUCAAGGCCCUAAACAUAAACUUAACAUCUUUUAGUUUCAGUUCCCAUGCUUUCCUAUUCUUCUCUGAGACUCCAAAUGGUAAAACCUCACCCUUUCUCCUCAAAGACUCCCAGGGUUGCUAUCUACGAAAUAUAUUUUCCCUGUGAUACACAACAAUAUUCAAGAUAAACAAGUAGCUGGGAAAAGACAGGAAUCUCUUUCAGGGGAAAUAAUUCCAUGUUUUGCUAUGACAGGGGUAUGAGCAGGAGUGUUGGGCCAGAAUCCGUGACUGUCAUGUUUUGCCAAGUUCUACAUAUAUGUAUCCAACAGGUCCACAGUGUGUUUACACAGAAAAUAACCAGAAGUUGGGUGCUUUUCCAAGAGACAGCAUUUGGCAGACAAUACAUUCUGUGUGUUGCUAAGCUUUAGCACAGGUGCAUACAGAGCAAGCAUUUCUUUUGUCAAAUAAUCCAUUUUGUUAAACCAAUCCAUAUGUGAUCAGAAUUCUUCAUCUCAGUGAUACCUGGCAAGCUCAGAGUUUGGCAUGGUUUAAGGAUUCAGGAUUUGGUGUUUGCUUUUGCAGACUCUCACAUGGGUUGUCUACACACAGUAUUUGUAUUGCAUUCAAAGAGCACAUGUUAUAUGCGUGUAAAUAACAACACUUGCAAAAUUCUAUUAUGUUUUCAGAUUUUUAAUUAUGAUUAAUGUCCUUGUGCUGGCACAAACCAGGGCCAAUUCUUGGCAUGUGAAAGCAAUUGAGCACUAAGGCCAAUCUGACUCUGAUGACUGUCAUCCCUAGCAUGACAGCUAAUAAAGCAAUUUAUUCCAGACUCAAGUAAAUGUCUGAAUAUAGAGCAGGCCAUGUUUUAUUUCUGAGCUCUGAAUAGUCAGCAUUCCAGUUGCUAAAGAAAAUAAAGUCAGUUGAGCAAGAGGGGCCGGAGAGCAGGGCCAAUGCUCCAGGAGUCCGCUUUGCAUUUAUCUACAAGCAGAUCUGUUUCUGAGGGCUUUUAAGCAAGCCUCCUUGACUCCAAAGAAUCUGCCUAAGCUACAAUUAAGCUAAUAAAUCAGAGUGACAGGAAUGCAUUUGGGAAUUUAGGCAUAUAAAUGUUGUGUAACAAUGAACCAUAAGGUAUGGUCCAUAAAAUGCAGAUUAAUGAUGAAUAAAAGUGCAAAGUCAAAUUGCUCGUCAAAGCAACAGGUUUCUGAUUAUAGGAUCCACAUUAUGCAGCUCGACUAAACAUUAUUCUGACAAAUGAAGGUUAUUAGCCUAAAAUGUCCCAUGAUGCCAAGAUGGCGCUUAAUUUCGCUUAAUAUCAAGUUGAGGAAUUAUAAACUGAGUAAUUUUCUGUUGAAACAGCUAAAGGAUAUCAGAUUACUACCUUGACAUACUAUUUAGUAGGCUAUGGUAGUAUGGUUACUAUGUAUGCAGAAGACUUUACCCUCUAAUGAUGUACUGUAGAACUAUAGAUUAGUGAGUGAAAAGCCAAAAGUUCUUGUCUUUACUGACAGAACUUUCUAUUGUUCUAUAGAGCAUCGUUUUCCCCUUUCUGUAGUGGAAAAGGUUGCACCACAUUGACUGGGGAGUUGAUUCAUAGCCUGCUGAUUCAGAGAGUGAGAGUCGGUUCAGUAACUGAAUAAAGUUAUAGUGUAGUGUUUUGGUUUUAAUAAAACCUUAUCAACCACUCACUCACUCCUCACACAACACAACACAACACAACACAACACAUUUAACAGCUUUAACUGAAACAAAAAGCUCUCUGACUCAUCCCUAACAGUAAGCACACUAGUUGCUUGACAUGAAGUGUGCGUUAGACGCCAGGGAAAGGUUCGCUUGGCAUCAUCACGGGUAUUUAACUGACACAAGCUCUAUCAAGAUGCUAUCUUACCU